CUACGGGUUGCUCCAGUGGGGAAUAUUGCACAAUGGACGAAAGUCUGAUGCAGCAACGCCGCGUGGAGGAUGACACAUUUCGGUGCGUAAACUCCUUUUAUAUAAGAAGAUAAUGACGGUAUUAUAUGAAUAAGCACCGGCUAACUCCGUGCCAGCAGCCGCGGUAAUACGGGGGGUGCAAGCGUUACUCGGAAUCACUGGGCGUAAAGCGCAUGUAGGCGGACUUGUAAGUUGGAAGUGAAAUCCUAUGGCUCAACCAUAGAACUGCUUCCAAAACUGCUUGUCUAGAAUAUGGGAGAGGUAGAUGGAAUUUCUGGUGUAGGGGUAAAAUCCGUAGAGAUCAGAAGGAAUACCGAUUGCGAAGGCGAUCUACUGGAACACUAUUGACGCUCAGAUGCGAAAGCGUGGGGAGCAAACAGGAUUAGAUACCCGCGUAGUC
rnacentral:rRNA from 1 species